GAACGCACAUUGCGCCCCUUGGUAUUCCGAGGGGCAUGCCUGUUCGAGCGUCAUUUCAACCCUCAAGCACAGCUUGGUCUUGGGCCGCGCCGCUAACCCGGCGGGUCUUAAAAUCAGUGGCGGUGCCGUCGGGCCCUGAGCGUAGUACGUCUCCUCGCUAUAGGGUCCCGGCGGAUGCUGGCCAGCAACCCCCAAUCUUCUAUGGUUGACCUCGGAUCAGGUAGGGAUACCCGCUGAACUUAAG
rnacentral:misc_RNA from 1 species